rnacentral:snRNA from 1 species
GUGCUCAUUUCCACAGGACAUACAGUAAAACUGGGCAAUACAGGGAAGGCUGGCACAGCCCUCGGGUGAGGAUGGCAUACGUUCAUGAACACUCCAUAUUUUU